GUAGGGAAUCUUCCACAAUGGACGAAAGUCUGAUGGAGCAACGCCGCGUGAGUGAAGAAGGUUUUCGGAUCGUAAAACUCUGUUGUUGAAGAAGAACACGUUUGAGAGUAACUGUUCAGACGUUGACGGUAUUCAACCAGAAAGCCACGGCUAACUACGUGCCAGCAGCCGCGGUAAUACGUAGGUGGCAAGCGUUGUCCGGAUUUAUUGGGCGUAAAGGGAACGCAGGCGGUUUUUUAAGUCUGAUGUGAAAGCCUUCGGCUUAACCGAAGAAUAGCAUUGGAAACUGGAAGACUUGAGUGCAGAAGAGGAGAGUGGAAUUCCAUGUGUAGCGGUGAAAUGCGUAGAUAUAUGGAGGAACACCAGUGGCGAAAGCGGCUCUCUGGUCUGUAACUGACGCUGAGGUUCGAAAGCGUGGGUAGCAAACAGGAUUAGAUACCCGAGUAGUCC
rnacentral:rRNA from 1 species